rnacentral:lncRNA from 1 species
CGGAUAAAACGUGUUUGUUGAAGGAAGUGUCAACGAACAUCGUUAUCCAUUGAUCCGCGUAUUUGGCCUGCCAGCCCCGUUGCACAAGACGCUCGCAAUUCGCGGGCAAUAGCAUUCUAAAGCCCGCGUGAUUAAUCGGCUCCGUUAUAGUUCUAGGUAGGAAGUUUAUAUGUGCAGUAAACGCAACUCAACCAGCAGCUCUCUAUGAAAAACUGCCGAAUCUUGCAUUCCCGAUGGCCGUCGUCGUCAUUGUUCAGGUUACGCCAAAAUACGAUGGUACGGUCAGUUCAAGUUUGCCAGCUGCCAUGAGCGAAACAAAACAUCGCGCGAAAAAUUGUUGCUGUGACCGAUGAAUCGCGCCAGAGUUUUUCCACGAUACAGGUCUCUGACGCGAUUGAUCGUAAAUUCCAGAAGUCAUUUGCUGCCACAUAUAUUAAGUACUGUUAACCGGACAGCCACCGCUUCGUCGGACAACGGAUCUGAGGUGACGCGAGCUCGGUUAGUAAACAUUGGAUUAAACGAUAAAAGUUCACCAUUUUUCGACCAUAAAAGCUCGACGACUUAACCUACCGGAUGGGUUGAUUGCUAGUUUGUUUAUCUGUUCCGUCCGACCAGCCAAGAUCGCUAGCAGUGGCUAAACUAGCGGUUAUAAAUAUCAGUUCGACUACGUAUAAGUAUGGAUGUGGAUAAGAGUCAGUCAGCCGUUAUCUUCAUGGUCAAAUUAGAAGACUCGCGACUCAUUGGGCUCUCGAUCUAAAACAACCUCGUGCAUUGCUUCGAUGGAGAACUUCUGCUAAAUCUGCUUACUUCGUAUCGAUGCGUGUUAUUAUUUACACUCUGUAAGAUACGUGGCUAACUAAAGAGUACAUAUGAAGCCAGCAAUUUAUAUCCUAGUUCUAUUUUUCUUUCUCUUCUUUCUAAUAUUCCUCUUUUUUUUUCCUACCUAUUUUUUGUGAUAUGCACCUCUCACGAAACUAGCAGAACAACUUUCGACAGACACUGCCAUGAGUAGCAGAUGGAGCAGUCGCAAUGUAUAUGUGUAUAUAUAUAUAUAUAUAUACAUUAGUAGUUUUACACAUACCAAAGAGAUAAACACAUUUCGAAUACGUAAACAGAAUGUAAGCCUUGCAAUCUCAUACGAUACAUAUGUAGGUGGUUUUUUGUCAAAGCUGAUUACGAUCACCCUCGUAAUAAUUUCAGUCUCCUACGUUAGUAUCUCCUGUUUAACGUCGCGGUCUUCAACGGACCUACCUCAGCAUAUACAAACUUUUCUGCCCUGCCUUACGUCAACUAGUCCAGCCCGGUUCUCAGCUUGAAAUGCUACUGCUGCUGCUUUUCAUUUCCCGAUGCAUCUUUAGCGCGCCGCAGUAAAACAAGCACGUACAGUCAUUUAUUGUUAAUGCUUCUCUGUGGGUCCAUCCUAUAAUAGGCGACCCUCUAGCACUGUGUGCCUGAGUAUCAUAGCUGACUGAUGAUAGGUUUCUUCCGCUUAGUGUCGCGUAUAUCGCUUGACACGUCGGUACAUGCUAGUGUUUAUAGCGACAAUGGGGCGUCACGUGCGUGACUCUGCUUUGAAGUAAUCAUCACGAAGUAUCGGACCGAUAGUUUUCUGCGACUCGCUGCCUGGCGAUCUCAUAUAGUUGCGUCGCUUUUUCCUAAGCACAAUGUUGCCACAGUGGCGCUGGCAGUACACACAGGGUAGAGUAAAUUUCGAAAGUUGCUGCCGAAACGAUGAUGCUACCGUAUCUAUAUUCACCUUCAUUUAACGAUGGCGAUGUAUAGCAGCAUAUCAGUGUUGUAAGAUUGGGAGAAAGAAAGAAAGUUCCAUCACUCCGCUCCCUUUUUAGUGUAGCCCGUUGCCGAUCGUAUGCACACGUAAUGGACGCAAGGCAGCGUCCUACAGCCGCCCUUCGGUGCUUUAGGUCAGUUCGCGUACGUACGUCUGCGUUUCGACGUUCGCAUAGAGACGUUCUAUCGAUAGAAAAUCGACCAUUCUUACUGUUGUACAAUAGCAUAGUGGCCAUCGUUAUUGUACACGCUACCGAUACACGCACGUAUCACUAAGUAAAUGUUACACUGUAUUAUGUAGUUAAAUAAACUGAUACGAAUAUUUAGAUAUCGCGGCCUGUCGAAGGACAGUAAUGAUAAUUAAUAUACAAACGACACAACUGCCAUGUCUGCGUCCGGGUUAAAUCUGUAUUGUUGUCCUGAACCCAGCCUGUUAACCAGACGCCGAUAUGUCAUCUAUGUGGGACGUACAGCACCCCAGUAGAAAGAUCAUAGCACAAUAUAGCUAACAUCACAUGUACCCGCUUAUAAAAAUGCGCUUUGUAGAAGUUACCUGAGGUAAGGAAUAAUGCAAGUUAGACUACAAGAACUUGAUUAAACGAAUGGCGAAAUCGGUAAAAAGUAAUUAUGACUUCAUCUAUACGCUGAUGUUUUUUUCUAGCGUCCUUACUACGAGAUUUUAUCUCGCA